CACAACAAAAAUACAGUUUUCUUAACAGUAAAAUAUCUGUUUCCAUUCUUUCUGUCCUGUACAUUCAGGUCACAAAAUUGUCGAUAGAAGUUGGAGUAGCAAUGUGUGCUUAUUAGCAACACAAGAUGGUACCAGAGUGUCACCCACCACCAACCAAUGUGACACGGAAGUCAGCAGAGAUCCAUCGACAUUCUACUUCUCUUUUUGUUAACACCGAACCUGUCAGUAUUGCCUAUGUAGUCUAUGUCUUCAAGACAACACUAAAGACAGAGAACUCAAACUGGAUGUUUGAGUAAUACCUUAAUAGUGGCAUUCCAACGUUGUUGUGACUUUUUAAGUAGGCCUACUUUUUACAAGUGUUGACAGUGUAAUGUCCAGAAAAAACAUUCCGAUGUUGUAGAAACAUUUCUAGGCUACUUGGUGAGAUCUCUCUGAGCACACCACAAGGUAAUCCUUGCGGGCACCAGUUUAUUUUCAAUUGAAGAGGAGAUUGAGAAUGGACUCCUUUUACCUCCUCCUCCUUCUGCUCUUCCUAGAAGUCUCAGGGAACAUGCAGCCAAAGAUCCUCACUCCACGAAAUGGUGAAGUCAUAGAAGUGACCCUUGGUAUGUUU